CCAGCGCUCCCUGUGUAAGGCUUUUAUUCCACCGAAUCAGCUUGUACUACUGCAGAAAGCCGGACCUGAGCCGUAGGUGAAGAUGUGUUACACGCUGCCUUCCUCCAAGGCUGUGCACUUGGAGGUACAAGACUUUAACCGCUUCCCCUGGUUUGGGCUGUAGGAAAAAAGUAAAGGCGGAGACAUGGUAAUUAUACAAAUUGAUGAUGCCCAAGAAAAAGAGAGACUGUGCCUCUGAUUUGUUUCACAUGUAACUGACUUCUAACUCGAGUGUGAAAUGAGGCAGCUCUCCAGCUAGGAGGAGUGUUGCACAAGGUGAGGAUUGGAAAUUAGCUGCUAUUAGCUGCGGUGGUCACUGAAGGGCAGGGAGGAUUUCUUGACUGGGGUCUGAGGGAAGUUCUGGGAAGCAGGGGCUGACCAAGGGUUGCACGGCUAGGCUAGCUGUCUGGGGCCGGUUCAACUACUUCUGAGGUAGCCCCGCCCACCUUUGCUGCCUCCUCCCAUAGGGGAGGAGAGCACCGCAGGCAAGUGGUGGUCACGAGGCCAUAGGAAGAAGCAAAGCCACUGGUUCAGUGACUGGAAAAGCCAAGCUGGCCUCGGGUUCUGGAAAAGCCAAGCUGGCCUCGGGGCGUGGUUUGUGCCUGUCACUAGGUUAGGCCCACCAAGCAAGUUUACCACAGUGACAUCUUUGAUACUUUGUAGACAUUAACAACCGUGAAUAAUAAAGUACUUCCUGGUUCGUGGCCUGCUGACCAGACACCACCACAGUGUGACAGUGCUGGCCCAGUUUGUGACAGCGGGGACUGUUUCUCAGCACUCAGACUGCGCGGCGCCGUUCUUCCAUUCCUUCUUGCUAAGGGAACCUGAGGUGACUGCCAGCAGCAGUGUCAGUAAGAAUGGUUGCUGGGCAGUGGUGGCGGCCCAACACUCACAGGCAGAAGCAGAGGCGGGUGGAUCUCUUCAUUCGAGGCCAGCCAGCUGGGAAGGGGGAACCCCGGCGGAGGAGUUACUGUCAGAUGACGGUGGGCAUGUCUGUGGGGGAGUUUCUCGACUGCCAUGUGGGCAGUACCACGCCUUGGCAGGUCAUCUUGAGUGACUUAAGGAAAGCAACUAAACAUGAGCCUGGGGACAAGUCAGCAAGCGGCGUUCAUCUGUGGUCUGUGCUUCUGUUCCUGCCUUGAGUUCCUGCCCUGGAUUCCCUUGGGCCAGGACUAGUACCUGACAGUGGUCAGAGGAGAAAAACUUUUCCUGCCCGCAUUGCUUUUUGGUCAUAGUAUUUACCAAACCAACGGAAACCAAAG